CUGGGAGGUGUCCCCUGUCCUGUGCUGCUCUGAUGUGCCAGCUGUGCACCGCCCCGUUUCUCACUGGCCGCCCCCUGGCACGCGCAGAGACGCUGGUCUAGAAGAUAGAACAAAACAGUCCGCUUUGUUUUACUUUUCAUAACUUUCCCCUUUAUCUUCACUGAUUUUUAAACAUAAUGCACCAGGUCCCGUGUAUUUGCUGUUCGUAAUCAAGUCUCGUUUGUUUGCUGAGCCCCGUGGGAGUUUGCACUUACUGAGAGUGUGUGUGUGUGUGUGUGUGUGUCUGUGUGUGUGUGUAUCUGUGUGUGUCUGUGUGUGUCUGUGUGUGUGUGUGUGUGUGUGUGUGUGUGUGUGAGAUCCCUGCUCGCCUCACAGUCAGAGCGGAGGACAGCCUGAUGCUGGGCGGGAGGGCAGAGCGCCAGCAGGAGGACGGACACUCUCGAAGACGCUGCAUUUACUCGGGUCUUGGGCACUUAGGUCACAUAAAGCUGCAUGUCUGUACAACCUGAACCACGGUCACUGGGCCGUGUUCGCCAGGGAAGCAAAUGGCCGGCGCUCCGUUUCUCAGGCGGGACUUCUCAGUGCCUUUAUGAACGGGAACAGAGACUCCGGUCUGCGGAGGUUUUGUGGUCUCUGCAGAAACCUUGACCCUGACACAUCAGUGCUGAUGAACACUUGGUGGGAAGUCCCAGGCUCUGCGGAAUGGAGCGCUUGGUUUUCACUCCCAUAAGCUGUGGGAGCAUCUCUGGCUGUGGCCGUUCUAUGAGGAAUCUCUCACCUCCCACCAAGAAUUCUGCAGCGCCAUAGUGCUGGCUCCCCUCAGGUAUGGCGUGAUCAAGCGUCUGGCUCGUUUAGCUAAAACUGUCUUAGAACUGCCCUCCUCUGCGAAAUCACUUCUCUCGUAGGGGAGAAGAAGGGAAAAGCCCUACUUCGCACUUGGCUGAGCAUGCCGGGCCGUCCUGAGAGGAUGACUUCUCCAGCUUCAUCCACCUGAAUGGGAUCAUAAGGCUCUGCUGAACCAGGACCUAGCCGGGAGAUUGGGUUGUGUCCACUGACCUUCCAUUGCCGUGUGCCUCACUGCCGGCGCUGCUCCGUCCGCUUCCCCCGGAGCAGAGAGCAUGCCUGGAGGGGUGAGGGAUGCCGUGGUUGUCCAUGUACGUUAGCCCACGGAGAGUCACGGAUGACGUUGAUCAACCUGUUGCAAGUUUCAGGAAUUGGUCAAGGUGAUGGGAAAGUCUCUGAAAAGAGGGCCGAGAGAAGCUGUGCGCCCCUCCCUCAGCCGGAACCUGCCCGCAGCCCAGUUCACGGUGCAGGGAGCCCUGUGCUCCAGGUGAGCUCACCUUCUCUGCUCAGGUAGAAGUGCCCCCCUCUGCUCUCACUUCCUUUGGAGCCACCUCCUAAUCCUUCACCCUGCCCUCAAGCCCAGACUCUGGCCUGUCGUCCCCACACUGGGAGCAUAGCUCUCUCCUGCUACAUUGGGUUCAUUCACUCUCCAGCCUGGAAUCAAACGUGGGCUUUCAGAGGGACGCCCUGCCCAGCCUUGUCUCUUACUGGGGUCCUUCUGCACCUGACAGCUGCCCGGGAAGACAGGGGUGGGCUUGGAUAAGUACAUCAGUGUUUCCAGGUAGAGGAGAGCCUGUGACGUCACCUAGCUCUGCCAAGUGCUCAGAGUGACCCAGAGGAGCUCCAAGGCCAAGCCCAUCAGUGGCUCCUAGAAAAUCCCAGGACCACGUAUUCAAUGAUGUUCCAAGAGAGCAAAACAGCCAGGUGCUGUGAGUAAGAUGACAUUUAAAAUCAUACUCCUGACCUCUGGGUGCUUUCUGUCUGUCUGUCUUCUUCCCCCGCCUCUGGGAUACAAGCAAUCUGUGCAGACAACCACAAAUCUGCUCUGACAGCCGCUUCUCUACCUAAAGGACACUGUGCUUGCUACUUUCCCAGAGUCAGCGCCGCUGUGGAGGUAGCCCAGGGAUGCUCUGAGCCCGGUCUGGGUGCAGCAGUGAAGUGCGGAGGUCUGCCUGGCGUCCCCUGGAGUCUUUAUGAAGGAAAACGUUCCUUGGAAAAUAAGAAAGUCUGGGAGCUGCAGGGGGACCCCUGGGCUCUGUGAGUCAGCUGGACUCCAAGGCCAGGCUGAGGCCCGGUAGGAGACCACCCCUUGCCCCGGGCCCUGGCUGCCGAGUGUGCCCUUCUGUGGUUCACCGUGGCCUCGAAUGGCACAUGUUCAACAGGAGGAGGAGACAACCACUCCUGGUGGCUGAGGUGGGAUCCUGCUGUUUAAACAGGAGCAUCAGUUUCUGGACAUUUCCCCAUUGAGGACCAGAAGUGACUAAGAAGCUAGCAGACCCCUCGGCAGCCACGGUGCGAGCCGACAGCCUUUACUUUGUGUUCAGCCUUUACUUGCCACAUGGUGUGUAGAAAGCUGCCACGAUGGAAGCGACCCCCAACCCCACAGGUGACUGCCAUUUUGCAAGCAGCCGCAGCGACCGCCCAGCCGCCCGGCCGCCCAGGGACGGCGCAGCCCCGCCGAGACAAAUCGCUUCUGCCUCCAGCACGGACGGCAGAAUUUCCACAAUCACAUGCUCAGACACUUAAGGUCGGAUUUAUUAUUAUUGCCAAUAAUAAUGAAAAUGAAGACUGCUUAUGCGCUACCCCAGUGCUCUACAAAAAUUGAUUUUCCUGAGGUCUGCGUGGCACUCUAGGUCUUCCUUUGCUUUGGCCUCCAAGGUGGAUGGCUGUUUCACUGCAUCUUUCCCCUAAAUUCCGAAUGAACGAUUGACACGCUGUGGGCACCCUCACAAGAGGACGGUUCUGAGAUCACAUGUCUCCAUCUAACGCAGUCGAUUAGAGACACGGGGCAGAACCUUGGAUUUUUAGGAAGGAAUUCUUUUGAAGCUGGGAGAGUUCUCUUGCAUGGAGACAUCUUUCCCUCCAGACCAGCAAGCCCUGAGUCUCGGCAGACCGUCCUCUGGCCGAGGAGGUGGGUCUGGGCAGGGGCUGCCCGGCUUGUCCCAGCAGAGGGCUUCGUCCGGGAAAGGCAGCCCCGUUAUUAAGCGGUAAUUAAGCCCUCCAGGUCCAGUCCUUCACGCUGGCUAAUCUUGGUGACUGUUUACAUGAUACUAUUUGUUAAAUGGCAGAGUUUAUUGAUUUGGCAAAUUCAGUCCUGCAUUGUAGAUUUUCUCUCAGUCUGUGUUGCUACAUGUGGUUCAGCAUUUUUAAAUGUCAACUGCAAAGUAUUAUUGAUCGGUAAUUAAAAGUGUAGAGAAAAAUUAGCAUAGUGGAAGUUUACGGUCAUUAGUACAAGGACCGUCGGGCAAUUAUUUAGUAUGUUUUAACAUUUAUUCCCCCUCUCGGUAUUGACAUAGAGUAUCAUACUCACCCAACAGUGUUGGCUUUGCUAAAAAGGAAAGUUUUAACAUCAAUAAGAAUUAAUGACAUACAAUUCUUUUUGAAAAUUUGCCUGUCGGUUUCCCUGGUGCUUGAAUAAGCUAAUCCCGAGAGCUCUUCCUGCUCCGAGUGGACUGAAGCAGGGUCUGAGCUCGGUGGGCCGUGGGGGCCACGUGAAUCCCCAGGCCGGGCGGCGGGGGGUCCUGCCUGGAGCCACACGCGGGAGCCUCGGCUGCGAGCUGGGCAGGGCGAGACGCCACACUUGGCUCCGUGCUCAGUGCGACGCUCUCAGACCGUGGCUCCAGGGUUCAGCACGGAGUCUCUGUGGGGGCAGGUACGUGCAUCAAGUCCUUGACCAGGGCUCAUUCGGAAAACACGGCCACCCUGUCAGCUGUAGCCAGCACCUCAGAGAUCUGUACCCCAAUCACGGUCAAACUUCGAAGCCACAGAACCAGCAUCACAGGUGUGCCCUCCGGGGGAGCGUGGCCCGGCGUGGGCUGGGGAAGAGAAAGACUGGGAGGCAGGACCCCGGCCUCAGGAGCGAGCGGACGUCACCACCAUGUCUGUGUCAGGAAGGGGACUCAGGCAGGGCCUCCGCACCGGGGUCCGCGGACUGCAGGGAGUCACUGUAGGACCCUCGUGAAUCCCAGCCCACAAGCCUGUUUCAGAAGCCUGGGCACAUCUGACAUAUGGCGAGUGCCUGGGAAGCGAGUCUCAUAAGGGGAAAGUCCUGGGAAAGGGAGGGGUACGGGGCCUGGCCCAGGGUGGAGGCUGGGAGAGCUCGGCAGAGGGGAGGCGGCCAAGAUCCCCGCAGACCGAGAGGAAGGAAAGGUGAGAGGGGGUGCCGCCGGGCCCUCCUGCCCUCCGCCCGCCUCCCGCCUCCCAACGGAUCAGCGUUUACACGUCCUAGAGCCACUUCGGAGGGCUCAUUUCCCAGUCGGAAACAGUGGGACCAGAGCGACUUUCAUGCACAACGAUGACUUCUGCGGUGCUGCUGCGCCGGGACACUCGGCACAGCCCGAGGAACGCCGCGGGCAUCUGCAGCUGUGGAGGCUGCGCACGUCCCGGCACGGCGGUGGCCGAGCAGCGAGGUGCUCGGGAGCGCGGAGGAGGGGGCUGGGGCCUUUCCACUUCGAAUAGAAGGGCUCCGGAACGGUGGCCGAGAAGUGCCAGGCAGGGCUGCCGAGUCCAGCAUCGAACUUGACAAGAAACAGGUGGCCACGACCCUCUGAGGGAAGGUUUCUGGUGCCGCAGCCCCAGGGAAGGCGCGCUGCAGGAAUUCAAGAAAUGAAAGUGUUGGAAGCACAUAACUGUCCCUCGUGCGCGUGAUGGAGGCAGAGGGCGAGCAGGCAGGGGGUGGAGCAAACAAACGUGCACAGGACGGGAGGGACACGGGGCUGCGGGGCCAGCGGAGGACAGCGAUCUCGGAGGACGGCGGCGGGAGGCUCCGCGGGGCUGUCUGCCGCACACCCGCUUCCCAGCGCCUGCUGCACCUGUCGGCCUCGGGCCGCUGCCUCGGGACCCCCGGGGGAGGGUCAGGAGACGGCCAGGGCCCAGCAUCGCAGUGCCCAGCUGGACCACGUCCAGGGCUGGGUGGAGUCACAGGUCAGACUGGGACUUGGUACCAGAUGCUGCGACAGCGUCCUGCCCCAUCCCUUAGCCGCUGGCGGGAUUCGCGUCACGUUACAUUAAGUCCCUACACCCGGGGUGCUGACCCUGAAACAAAGGCAAGCCUCAAGCUGCAUUACACGUCCUGCUUUGAGAGGCGCCUGGGGGCCGUCACUCAAGCAUCCAUCGGACUGCUGGUCCCGGCUCAGGUCGUGGUCUCAGGGCCGUGAGAUCGAGCCCCGUGCCGGGCUCCAGGCUCAGCUCGGAGUCUGCUGGAGAGUCUCUCCCUCUCCCUCCUCCCUCCCCACGCCCACUCCGGUGCCUGAUACCCCUCGCUCUAUUGUAAAUAAAUAAAAUCUUAAAAAAAAAAUAA